AACGAACGCUGGCGGCAUGCCUAACACAUGCAAGUCGAACGAGACCUUCGGGUCUAGUGGCGCACGGGUGCGUAACGCGUGGGAACCUGCCCUUAGGUUCGGAAUAACUCCCCGAAAGGGGUGCUAAUACCGGAUAAUGUCUUCGGACCAAAGAUUUAUCGCCUUUGGAUGGGCCCGCGUUGGAUUAGCUAGUUGGUAGGGUAAAAGCCUACCAAGGCGACGAUCCAUAGCUGGUCUGAGAGGAUGAUCAGCCACACUGGGACUGAGACACGGCCCAGACGAGAACGGGAGGCAGCAGGGGGGAAUAGUGGACAAGGGGCUAAAGGCUGAACCAGAAAUGGCGCGGGAGUGAGAAAGGCCUUAGGGUUGUAAAGCGCGUGUACCAGGGAUGAGAAGGAAAGGACAGGGAGAAUAAGAUGAGGAGAAAUCAGUG
rnacentral:rRNA from 1 species